ACGGAAGGCAGCAGUCGGGAAUAUUGCGCAAUGGAGGAAACUCUGACGCAGUGACGCCGCGUGCAGGAAGAAGGUUUUCGGAUUGUAAACUGCUUUAGACAGGGAAGAUAAUGACAGUACCUGUAGAAUAAGCUCCGGCUAACUACGUGCCAGCAGCCGCGGUAAUACGUAGGGAGCAAGCGUUAUCCGGAUUUAUUGGGUGUAAAGGGUGCGUAGACGGGAAGGCAAGUUAGUUGUGAAAUCCCUCGGCUUAACUGAGGAACUGCAACUAAAACUAUCUUUCUUGAGUGCUGGAGAGGAAAGUGGAAUUCCUAGUGUAGCGGUGAAAUGCGUAGAUAUUAGGAGGAACACCAGUGGCGAAGGCGACUUUCUGGACAGUAACUGACGUUGGGGCUCGAAAGCGUGGGGAGCAAACAGGAUUAGAUACCCU
rnacentral:rRNA from 1 species